ACGGAGGAUUCAAGCGUUAUCCGGAUUUAUUGGGUUUAAAGGGUGCGUAGGCGGUCGGAUAAGUUAGAGGUGAAAUCCCGAGGCUCAACUUCGGAAUUGCCUCUGAUACUGUUCGGCUAGAGAGUAGUUGCGGUAGGCGGAAUGUAUGGUGUAGCGGUGAAAUGCUUAGAGAUCAUACAGAACACCGAUUGCGAAGGCAGCUUACCAAGCUACUUCUGACGUUGAGGCACGAAAGCGUGGGGAGCAAA
rnacentral:rRNA from 1 species